rnacentral:rRNA from 1 species
AUGCACGCUGGCGGCGUGCCUAAUACAUGCAAGUCGAGCGAACAGAUGAGGAGCUUGCUCCUCUGACGUUAGCGGCGGACGGGUGAGUAACACGUGGAUAACCUACCUAUAAGACUGGGAUAACUACGGGAAACCGGAGCUAAUACCGGAUAAUAUAUUGAACCGCAUGGUUCAAUAGUGAAAGACGGUUUUGCUGUCACUUAUAGAUGGAUCCGCGCCGCAUUAGCUAGUUGGUAAGGUAACGGCUUACCAAGGCAACGAUGCGUAGCCGACCUGAGAGGGUGAUCGGCCACACUGGAACUGAGACACGGUCCAGACUCCUACGGGAGGCAGCAGUAGGGAAUCUUCCGCAAUGGGCGAAAGCCUGACGGAGCAACGCCGCGUGAGUGAUGAAGGUCUUCGGAUCGUAAAACUCUGUUAUUAGGGAAGAACAAAUGUGUAAGUAACUAUGCACGUCUUGACGGUACCUAAUCAGAAAGCCACGGCUAACUACGUG